AGACUGGAUUAACCUUCAGGCCAAGGGUAGACAUCGUGGAGUCUGUGGAAAAUUCAAGCAACCUCUGAUAUGGGUGAAGAAUAAGAAGAUGGAGACCUGAAUGCUGUUUUUGAGGUCCUCAGGCUCCCUACAAACCUGUCCUGUUGAAAUAGAGUGUCUAGAGCUUUGCUGCCUGACUUCCCCAAUAGAGCAUUUUUGAAAAAGUGGAGAAGAACUGUUUUUCUGUUUCUUAUGGAGGGAAACACAUUUAAGGCACAGAGAAGACAUCCAGCUUUGUUUUGCUUUCCUUCCCACAGCUGACAUCUGGCAGCAGCCAUUCCAUCAUCCUGCAGCACACAAAGAGAUGGGAAGCAUAACGAUUGUUACAUACAGCUAUGACCUCACCUGUCCGUCACUGCUAAAACUGUGAGUCAUCUACCAAUGGUGUGACAGAGGGUGGGACAUAAGGGGUGGAGCUAUGGUAUAAAUGUGAGUGAAUGUGUGUGAGAGAGUUUAGAUAGGGACAGAUAGGGAGAUAGGGACAGAUAGACAGGGACUGGUAGGGCUUGGAUAGGGUUUAGAUAGGAGUUAGGAGAUCUGUGUUAUAUUGUGAGACUCUGUGUAUGCCUGCCUGCUGAUCUUUUUAAAAAGAGGUUGCAAAUGUCCUUGUAUGUGCAAUCGGUAGAUACCACCAUCAAGUUGUGGUCCCUCCCUGUUCUGAUCUCAACCCACCUCUUAAAUUGUUGGCUUUUUUUUCCAUUUUGAAGGGAAACACAUUUAAGGCACAGAGAAGACAUCCAGCUUUGUUUUGCUUUCCUUCCCACAGCUGACAUCUGGCAGCAGCCAUUCCAUCAUCCUGCAGCACACAAAGAGAUGGGAAGCAUGACGAUCACAUCAGUACUGCUCAGAAGCUGAUUAUAUCACACUCCCCCCCCCAAUGUCGCUGGCAGUACCCACUCCGUGACAGAGGGUGGGACAUAAGGGGUGGAGCUAUGGUAUAAAUGUGAGUGAAUGUGUGUGAGAGAGUUUAGAUAGGGACAGAUAGGGAGAUAGGGACAGAUAGACAGGGACUGGUAGGGCUUGGAUAGGGUUUAGAUAGGAGUUAGGAGAUCUGUGUUAUAUUGUGAGACUCUGUGUAUGCUAGUGCCUUGAUUAUAGUGAUUGAAUUAUUAUUUAUUAUAAGUGAUUUACCAUUCCUUUUAUUUGUACCCAUUAAACCAGAGUUUUUAUUUGGAAUGAUAUUUUGGCCUGAUGCUACUUAUUUGAGGGAAUGGUUGGUGGCAGUGGAAAAGAAGAGUGAUUUAGAGUGACGUAGCGACCCCCCUUUGUGAGGUAGAGGGAGGCCGUUCCAAGGAUCACAUCAGUACUGCUCAGAAGCUGAUUAUAUCACACUCCCCCCCCCAAUGUCGCUGGCAGUACCCACUCCACCC
rnacentral:lncRNA from 1 species